rnacentral:rRNA from 1 species
UACAGAGGGUGCAGGCGUUAAUCGGAAUUACUGGGCGUAAAGCGUGCGUAGACGGUUACAUAAGUCGGGUGUGAAAGCCCCGGGCUCAACCUGGGAAUUGCAUUCGAGACUGCGUAGCUAGGGUGCGGAAGAGGGAAGCGGAAUUUCCGGUGUAGCGGUGAAAUGCGUAGAUAUCGGAAGGAACACCAGUGGCGAAAGCGGCUUCCUGGUCCAGCACCGACGUUCAGGCACGAAAGCGUGGGGAGCAAACAGG